rnacentral:rRNA from 1 species
UACGUAGGGGGCUAGCGUUGUCCGGAAUCAUUGGGCGUAAAGCGCGCGUAGGCGGCCCGGUAAGUCCGCUGUAAAAGUCAAAGGCUCAACCUUUGAAUGUCAGUGGAUACUGCCGGGCUAGAGUCCGGAAGAGGCGAGUGGAACUCCUGGUGUAGCGGUGGAAUGCGCAGAUAUCAGGAGGAACACCGGUGGUGUAGACGGCUUUCUGGACCGUAACUGACGCUGAGACACGAAAGCGUGGGUAGCAAACAGG